rnacentral:rRNA from 1 species
UACGGGGGGGGUAAGCGUUGUUCGGAAUUACUGGGCGUAAAGGGCUCGUAGGCGGCCAACUAAGUCAGACGUGAAAUCCCCCGGCUUAACCAGGGAACUGCGUCUGAUACUGGAUGGCUUGAGUUUGGGAGAGGGAUGCGGAAUUCCAGGUGUAGCGGUGAAAUGCGUAGAUAUCUGGAGGAACACCGGUGGCGAAGGCGACAUCCUGGACCAACACUGACGCUGAGUGAGCGAAAGCCAGGGGAGCAAACGGG